rnacentral:rRNA from 1 species
GAAACGACUGCUAAUACCCAAUAGACUCCGGUUUCGCAUGAAACCGACAGGAAAGGUGGCCUCUCGAAGAAGCUACCGCCGCAGGAGGGGUUUGCGUUUGAUUAGUUAGUUGGUGGGGUAACGGCCUACCAAGACGAUGAUCAAUAGCCGGUCUGAGAGGAUGAACGGCCACACUGGAACUGAGACGCGGUCCAG